rnacentral:rRNA from 1 species
AGCGAACGCUGGCGGCAGGCCUAACACAUGCAAGUCGAACGAACUCUUCGGAGUUAGUGGCGGACGGGUGAGUAACACGUGGGAACGUGCCUUUUGGUUCGGAAUAACUCAGGGAAACUUGUGCUAAUACCGAAUGUGCCCUUCGGGGGAAAGAUUUAUCGCCAUUAGAGCGGCCCGCGUCUGAUUAGCUAGUUGGUGAGGUAACGGCUCACCAAGGCGACGAUCAGUAGCUGGUCUGAGAGGAUGACCAGCCACACUGGGACUGAGACACGGCCCAGACUCCUACGGGAGGCAGCAGUGGGGAAUCUUGCGCAAUGGGCGAAAGCCUGACGCAGCCAUGCCGCGUGAAUGAUGAAGGUCUUAGGAUUGUAAAAUUCUUUCACCGGGGACGAUAAUGACGGUACCCGGAGAAGAAGCCCCGGCUAAUUUCGUG